UGCGAGUCAUUGUAGCAAUUCAAGGCAUACGGCUCAGUAACGCGUAGUCAACCUACCCUAUGGACGGGAAUAACCUCGGGAAACUGAGUAUAAUUCCCGAUAGAACAUUAUGCCUGGAAUGGUUUAUGUUCCAAAUGAUUUAUCGCCGUAGGAUGGGACUGCGGCCUAUCAGUUUGUUGGUGAGGUAAUGGCCCACCAAGACUAUUACAGGUACGGGCUCUGAGAGGAGUAGCCCGGAGAUGGGUACUGAGACACGGACCCAGGCCCUAUGGGGCGCAGCAGGCGAGAAAACUUUGCAAUGUGCGAAAGCACGACAAGGUUAAUCCGAGUGGUUUCUGCUAAAGGAACCUUUUGUCAGUCCUAAAAACACUAACGAAUAAGGGGUGGGCAAGUUCUGGUGUCAGCCGCCGCGGUAAAACCAGCACCUCAAGUGGUC
rnacentral:rRNA from 1 species